rnacentral:tRNA from 2 species
GGUCUCGUAGUUCAAUGGAUAGAAUAUAAGAUUCCGGUUCUUACGAUGUGGGUUCGAUUCCCGCCGAGACUA